GUCCCGAGCCCCCCGUACCCCGCUGGGGCUCGGCCGCUCCAGCCCCGAUUUGAAGUCGAAGUUGCUGAGGUCGUGGCCGGGGCCCAGGAAGCGCCGCAGCUCGAUCUUACUGCGGAACUUCUGCCCUGUGGGGCUGCGAGGGGCGGGGGUCAGCGGGGCUGAGACCCCGGGAGGGACCCCCCAGACCCCGGGAGGGACCCCAGACCCCGGGGAGGGACCCCAAAACCCCCAGGGAGGGACCUCAAACCAUGGGGGAGGGACCUCAGAACACCGGGGAGGGACCCCAGACCCUGGGGAGGGACCCCCAGACACCGGGAAGGGACCCACAGACCCCAGGGAGGGACCCCAGACCCAGGGGAGAGACCCCAGACCCCGGGAGGGACCCCCAGACACCGGGGAGGGACCCCAGACCCCCAGGGGAGAGACCCCAGACACCGGGAAGGGACCCCCAGACACCGGGGAGGGACCCCAGACCCCAGGGAGGGACCCAGGGAGGGACCCCAAACCAUCGGGGAGGGACCCCAGACCCCAGGGAGAGACCCCAGACCCCGGGGAGGGACCCCAAAACCCUCAGGGAGGGACCUCAAACCAUGGGGGAGGGACCUCAGAACACCGGGGAGGGACCCCAGACCCUGUGGAGGGACCUCAAAACCCCCGGGGAAGGACCCCAGACCCCAGGGAAGGAUCCCAGACCCAGGGGAGAGACCCCAGACACCGGAAGGGACCCCAGACCCCGGGAAGGGACCCCCAGACCCCAGGGGGGGACCCUAGACCCGGGGGAGGGACCCCAAACCAUGGGGGAGGGACCUCAAAACACCCGGGAGGGACCCCCAGACCCUGGGGAGGGACCCCCAGACCCCGGGGAGGGACCCCCAGACUCAGGGGAGGGACCCCAGACCCCGGGAGAGACCCCAGACCCCGGGGAGGGACCCCAGACCCCGGGGAGAGACCCCCAGACCCAGGGGAGGGACCCCAGACCCAGGGGAGGGACCCCAGACCCCGGGGAGGGACCCCAGACCCA
rnacentral:lncRNA from 1 species